UACGGGGGGAGCAAGCGUUGUUCGGAUUUACUGGGCGUAAAGGGCGCGUAGGCGGCGCAACAAGUCACUUGUGAAAUCUCCGGGCUUAACUCGGAGCGGUCAAGUGAUACUGUCGUGCUAGAGUGCGGAAGGGGCUACUGGAAUUCUCGGUGUAGCGGUGAAAUGCGCAGAUAUCAGGAGGAACACCAAUUGCGAAGGCAGCUCGCUGGGACGUUACUGACGCUGAGACGCGAAAGCGUGGGGAGCAAACAGG
rnacentral:rRNA from 1 species